GUCGUUGUAGUAUAGUAGUGAGUAUUCCUGCCUGUCACGCGGGUGACCCGGGUUCGUUUCCCGUUAACGGCG
rfam:Gossypium raimondii chromosome 3, whole genome shotgun sequence.